rnacentral:rRNA from 1 species
AUGUACAUGCCUACAACAUAGCGUCAAUGCAUUGGAUCCCAGUAGAACUCCACAGUUAAGUGCGCUCGGUCUAGAGUAGUACUAGGAUGGGUGACCACUUGGGAAGUACUAUUAUUUUACAUU